rnacentral:lncRNA from 1 species
UCAUACAAGAUGUCUAAUGAUAUACAACCUCGAGUCAUCAUAAGACAGGGAUGUGCUCAUCCACUUGCUGAGUAUAUAUACGAGAACUACCUAUAUAAUCUUGGAGUUUGGUUGAAGUAUAAUUCUCAAUUAGAGACGGUGGAGAUAAUGAUAUGUCAAGAGAACACACCAUUGGGAAGAAUAUGAUAGUAAUCUUCUCGUUUUUCUUUGGGGUCUAUUGGGUCAACCAAGGAUAAUUUUGUGGGCAUAUGAUAUCUAUAAUAACCUAGAUGCAUGGCCUCCCAUGUACGAAGGUUUCCUUGAGCACUUCCCAAAGGUUUUAAUUUCUAAAACAGUUUUUGACUGUACCUUUAUGUAAG